GUUUGAAUCAAUUUGUAUUUUUAAGCCUGAAAAAAGUCGUAUUUUUUUUUAUAUUAUAUUUUAUAUUUUUAUAUUUGAUUUAAUAUAUACGUAUUUUGGGUCAAUGUAUCAUUAGGCAGAAAUUUUAAAGCUUUUAUUUUUUUUUUGGAGGAGGGAGGUUCUGGAUGUAAAAUAGCCUUAAAAUUAUAUAUUCUAUAAAGACUGACAAUACAAAUUUGCGGGGAAGGCUUUGGAUAAUUUCAUCGCCCUCCAAUCUCCGUCGAUGAUACAUACUUAUACAAUUUUGUAACAGUUAAUGAGAAGCUAUAGAUAUUGGCGGGGAACAAAGGAAUUCUUCUGAAGUAAAAUCUACCCGUUAAAGAUGAUGUUUGUUUUGGAAUAUAUGAUGGAUUGUUGAGGUUUAGAAAUCAACAUAAAUCGCAAUUCGUAAUUAAUAAGUUCGUGAGAAGAUUAUUAUACAAUUUAAUAAAGUCAUGAGACUAAACUUAGUAGGUAUACACAAUGGUUCGUCAAUUAUAAUUUCGUCCAAUUAUGCGUAUUCAGUGUGGUCGUUGCCGUUGAACGAUACAAUUUAAAAAAAAAAUGCCCACCGGAUGUAUAAUGAACACUACACGUCUACACGGUUAUUAUAUGUUAUGAACCGAGCGGAUGUAUACAUAUUAUUAUAGACGGCUCUAUUGGUAAACAAAUAAUAUUUUUCAUAAAAUGCAUCAACGAAAUAAUGAGUAUAUCAACACAAUAUUCCAUAUAAUAUUCUCAUGGACGAACAAACGGGAGAGGAGGAGAGGGGGAAGUAUCCCCUCCCCAAUCAACAUAUUGUUCUUAAAUACAGGAUAUUUUUUAAUUAUGUUCACCCCAUUUUCGCGGUAAAAUUAUGCAUAAAUUCAAAUUUUGAUUUUUAGAAUUGUUAAGUAUAGUGAAUAAAAUUAUAUUUUCAUAACAUUUAUGGAGUA